UGCCUUUUCAGCUCCUGUGGGCGCCUGCCUUCCUCCCCUCCUGAACCCCUUCCUCAAAAGAGGCCCACCUCCUGUGUCCAUGGUCACAGCUGCUACCAGUCCUGACCCUCCUGACCCCCUUCUCGAGGACUCUGCAAUUGCACAGGGCCCACCCAGAUGUCCAGGACGCUCUUCCCCUCUCGGGAUCUUUAACUCCGUCACAUCCGCUAAGUGUCUUUGCCAGGGAGGUACCACAUUCACGGCUUCCGGGGUUGGGAUGCACACAUCUUUGGGGGACCAUUGUCCAGCCUGUCUCGCCUGGCAAGAGGACGGAAGCCUCAUGCAGUGGGGAGGGCUGUCAUUAUCAAACGGAGGCCCUCCUGCAGUGGGGGCUGCUCCCUGACUUUUCUCCUGCGGACAGAGCGGGAGCAGCCAGAACCCCGGAUGUGUCAGGAGCGUGUCUGUGGGCCUCCAGUGGGUUCCCUACUCAUUCUUGAACCCGGCAUCUUCAGGUGUAGACGAGAAUGCCACAGUGCUGCUCUGGACACAGGGAGCUGAUGCCUGUGGGAAAUGCUGUGCUCACCUGGGAACCUGCCUCCUGCCAUCCGUGCGCCCCUCGCCUACGUCAGCCCUGGUGAUGAAGCGUGCGCCCCUCUCUCUUACCCGCCACGCUGUGAGCGCUAAGUUUGACCGCAAUUGAGUAGGCUUAGGGGUGGAGGCAUUGUGUCCUCCCCUGCGGACGUAAAUGAGGGCCUCUUGAAUUCAAAACGCAAAUGACUCACAUUUGCAGUGCAAUUCAGGCAUGCCUGGUCUCCCCGUCAUUGUCAAGGUCUGUGGGAACCCCGGUCCACGCACAUGCAUGCACACGGCUUGGCUGUCAGCACCACCCCAGGACAUGUGGGCCCGCUAGACGAUGUUCAACUCGGUCGGCAAACAUGGAGUGACCCGCAUGAGGACAUGAGCCCAGGCAGAUGGAGAGUGCCGCAGAGAGAGAGAAGUCCCUCGGCCAACUCAAGAGUUCCUGGCCCAUCCCUUCGAGCUCAUCCUCCACAGUGGGGCUCGAAAAGCAGUGCUGACUGCGCCGCCCUGUGAGUUACUGUGAGUAAACACAGUCACUGUGCUGAGUGCUUCUGGAGGAACCGGGUCACCUAUGCCUCAGUGAGUCCUGCUGAUAGACACCGUUGUACCGCCUCGGUUCGCAGAUGAAGACGCUGGCUAACCAAGAAUGCAGACACACCCGUCACUAUUGCGGCUUGCUCAGAUCCUGCGAAGCUGGAGAACGGGGAGGCAAGAGAGAAGGCUCCAUCCACCUCUGAGAUGCGAUCGUGAGCAUGGUUCCCUCGCGGGCGAGUGUAUCCUGCAUCCCACUCUGCCCUCUGCAGGCCCUGGCCGUGGCCUCCGCGGGCAGGACACGAACACACAGCCCUUGUCUUCAGGGAGGUCACGGUUUGAUCGGACCCCUAGAGAAUAUAUCCAGCAUCCUUUUGCCUGCUUGUGACCUAAUGAAUCCUCCUACUCUUCCCCAUACCUAACAGCAGAAAUUACCACCAGCUUCUCUUACACCUCUUAAUGGGCCAAAGACAAAAUGCCUCUGGCUUCCCUUCGCCUUGGGCAUGAGGGCUCAGGAAGCCGGCGCUGCUGUCCUGUCCUCAUUCCUCCAGAUCCCAGCCCACCAGCAACGUCCGUCUCCAUGGUGACAGGGGUCAGGACGAAAACACUGCGGAAUGGUUUUGCCACCGAGCAUCUCUUCCUGACUCUGCAGUCAGCGAAAGCAGGCAGGCGAAAUAAAUCCUGAUGGGGUAUUUAUGCUACAGAAAGCAGCCAACUGCAGCUCAGCGCCCCCCCCCACCAGGGAGCCUGUUGUUAAGCUCCGGCCAGCGCACCCCUGCCGGAGCCCCACCCCCACCAGAGAUGGUGGUGGAAGGGCUCUGCAGAGUGGCGGUGCUCUGGCAUUAAAAGGAAAAACAGUCACAGGUGAUUCUAACGUGCACCUAAGUUUGGGGACCGUCAUUCUCUAGAAAGGCAGCUCCCGGCAGCCCCUGCAGGAGAGCACAGAGUGGGCAGCUCUUCCAGAGGCCGGGGCUCUCAGCGGGCAGGGUGUACUUGUCUCUCUGGGGGUCAAGUAGGUGAAGCGAAGUGUGGGUAGCUGGGAGGUGACUCAGAGGCCACCCGAGGAGCUCGCCUCCCAUGCAAACCACCCCCGAGGCUGCUCAGCUCCAGAUAAGCGUGGCCAGGUGUGGGAUGCUGGCCCAGGGCUGCCAGGGCCUCUGGGGUUUUUUCAGAAAAUCUGGAUUUUGGGGGGACACCUCCCAAUCUUCAGGAAACCACGGAGGCUAAUCAAAACACAUUUGCUGUCCAGCUUCUGCCAGCCACCCCCGAUCUGAACCCUGGGCAUAGCACGAGGGUACUAAUGUGGAGCUCGGGAAGGGGUGAGUGACACCACGUGACAGAGUAAACCACUCUGGACAGCUGCUGAGCCGUCAGCCCGGCCGCCUCCCACCAGGAGCCUGGCCCUGCGCAGACACCGGCUUCUCUGUCUGCAUCCCCUGGACAGAGCCGCCCCCUGGGGCCUGGGGAAGCAGGCGGGCAUCGUUUGCAGAUCUCGCCCUCCGAGGGGACAGCGUGCUCCAAAUACAAGAACAGUUCGGACGCUCACAGGACUAAACGAAGAACCAGUGUUUGUGACAAACAUCCUCCACGAGGACAUCUAGCAAUGGAAAGCUACGUGUGACGUGACCCCCACGGACCCCACGGCUUUGUGCGGGCGUCAGAGAAGCAGGCGUCCUGGCCGCACAGCCUCUGAGUGAGACCUGGAGAUCUGCCCUCACUGCCAGUCCACGUCUCGACUUCUCACUGGACACGUCUCUGGUCCUGCUACUUUGGGCGGAGGAUGGAAGUUCCCGCGAGAGUUGCAGAUUGACCCGGUUGUGCCCCCAGCCCCAGCGCCUGGCACGUGGUAAGUACCACACAGCACAUACAUGUUGGGUUGAAAUUAAGAAUGCACAUGUCACCAAGUUGUUGGUCAAAACUGGAAUGAUACAAAGUAGAUCGCAAGACCCCCAUGCUAGGAUGCUGUACAACCCCAUAAAGGGAGGUACACAUACACAUAAAAAAUAGAGAAACCCGAAAAGGAAGGCUACACCAGCCUGAGAGUCGUGACUGCCACGGGGACCAGGAUCGGGGCGGGUUCCGGGGAAAUCUGAUUUGUGUCUAGUGGGUUUUAUUUCUUAAUCAAAAAAAGAAAUUGAAGGAAGAAGUGAAGGAAAUAUGACAAAAUGUAUUUAUUCUGUAUGAUGGGUACACGGGUGUUUGUUAUAUCCAUCUCUGUGAUUUUCUGGGGGUUUGAGAUUUUUCGUAAUACUGCAGCUGUAUUAUGUAAGGAACUAUUGUAGUUUUACUGUUGGUCCCAGUGCUGAGGUUUCCAGAACCGUUCUCAGAUUGGAUGAUUCGGAAGGAUGCGUAGAGCUCAGGGAAGCUGCUGUACGUAUGGUGUAGAGUAGCAAGAGGACGGGGAAUCAGCAAAGGGAAAAGGGAUGUAGGGCAGAGUUCGGGCGACGGGGAAUGAGCUUCCUUUGUCCUCUCCUGGCAGAGUUGUACGGUAGCACUGAAUUCUCUCAGAAAUGAGGUGUGACAAUACGCACCAAGUCCCCCCGACCAGGGAAGCUCCCCUGCGAGCCCGUGUCCAGGGUUUAUCUGGUCUCGGUCAUGUGGGCAUGGCGCACCUGCUCGACUGACCUUAGCUACAGCCUCUGGAUCUCCAGAUCAAAGAGAUACAGUGGUGGCCUGAGGCCCUCAUUAUAAAUCACAUUGUUAACAUGAAGCUAUCUGGUGUGGUCUAAGGUCCCAGGUAUGCAAAGAUACUCUUAUCAGGCAGAACAUUCCAGGGACUCAUAGGUUACGUCAUAGGAGACUGAGAAGGGCCAGUCCUUUCUUCGGAAUGUGCAAGCAUGACGAUCCCAAGCCUGCUGAGUUAACCCUUUAUUGUACAGCCCUGGGCCAACCCAAAGUGAGAUGGAAGACCACCACGUGCAUUUGUGAAAGAUUUUGUGAGCCUGAGGCAGCCACCUACCUCCAGGCUAGAAAAAGUCUGGAGAGACUGGGGCAUCUGGGGAGCCUGCUCCCCACUUCACACCAAGGAAAACGGGCUCGGAACGGACCACUGGAGAUCUAGGCUUGUGUCUCGAAGUUUCAGAAACCAAAGGGACUGACACUUGAUCGACACGCGAAGAAUCUAACUUAGGAAACACUGGCGUGGCCGCUCUGGCGACCAGGCUUUGGGAUCUGACUGCCCUCGCAGAUUAUUCUGGGACCAAAAAACAGGUGAGGGUUCCUGGUGGGAGGGAAAGGGAGAGCUAGUUUAGGACCUUCUUAGUCCUGGUCAAGGUGAGUCCAACAGGGGACUGGACCAUAGGAUUCUCAGAGGCUAAGGAAGGAGCUGUAAGCAACCAACCGGGAGAAAAUGAAUCCACCCAGAGAUGAGGAGUGGAGGGGCUUUUGAAGAACCCUUUUAAAUGCCGCGGAAGAGAAAGGGUAACCGUCCAACCCUGUCAAGCCCAGGGAGUCACCGUGGAGAGAUUUCCUGUCCGUGUUCUCCUCUCCAACCUGCCCUGUUCUAGCUCUCGAGAGCAGAGACCGGUUAGCAAAUGUGUGAGGAGCGGCAGAAGACCAGGGCGAGGGGGACAAGUCCUUUGGGACUUCAGUCUGUACAGUUCAGAGCUGGGGAAGGAGGGACACUUUCAACCGUGAAAGAAGUGUAAGUUCUAAUUGUUAAUGAGCCUGGAGAUCUUCAUUCCUGAACGGGGCUGUCUUGGAGAACAGAGAGACAAAGAGGAACUUUCUGCUUCUUUCCCCCCUCUGUGCUUCAAUUCUGGUAUUUUCUACCAAUUUGUCUUCACCUGAACUUGGUUCUGUUCCCUGCUGUGCUCCGUCUCCUGCAAGCCAUUCUAAUAAGUACCAACUUCAGAUGUUAUGUUUCAUAUUUCUAGAAUGUUCUUCAGAAAUAUAUUUUAGGAACACCUGGGUGGCUCAGUUGGUGAAGCAUCUACCUUCAGCUCAGGUCA